UGGUUAUAAACUCACUACCAGCAAGGAGUU
rnacentral:piRNA from 1 species